rnacentral:lncRNA from 11 species
GAGAUAUUGGUCACCUACUGAUCAAAUCAAAUUAGCAACCACAUAUGUAAACAGUUUUCCUGCAUAUUUAAAUUAUGUGAAGUUUAUCGAAGAUUGCUUUUCAGUGUAAGCUUCGCUGAAAUGUGAUGCCAUUGGUUUUUCAGCAAAGGUUUCUAUCUGCAGGGCUGCAAACAGGCAUCAGCUGCUACAACUAGGGAGCAAAUCAAGCAUCACAUUUUAAGCAGCCUUUUCUAAGCCUGAGAGACCUUUUCCCCAAGAUUUCUUCUAUACACAGGAAGUUUUCUCUUUUUUUCUUUUCUUUAAAAAAAUAUAGUCAGAUUUAGGACUUUGCUCAUGUAAUCAGAUCAGAGCCAAGAUCAUUGCUGCAUGAUAGAAAAGGCAUCCUUAAGACAUUUGUCCUUGAAACUGCACCCAACUCUUGGAAGAGCCGAGAACGUGUGCCUGUAUGUACCCAAAUGCCAUGUGGUUGUUGGUACCUUGAGCAAAUGUGGAGAACAUGGGGAAAAGGCAGGAAGAGGAAGUCUAAAUGGACAUGACUGUCGGCUGCACAUGGCUUUGGAUAGAAACCCCAUGGUCAUGAACCCUUUGACUGUGGCAUAACCUUUUAAAAAUGGAUAUCCUUGUAUCUUAUGACUGAAGUGAGAAUUUUAUAUGGAAUGUCAUUUGGCAUUUAAAAAACCAGGUGUCCAAACUAUUUUUGCCAGCAAUCUGCCAACACUAGCCAAACACAAUUAGUUAAAAAGACAUCUCUAAAACAUAACAUAUGCUACUGAAUACUUUUCAUGUGUGAACAAUUGGGAAAUAAUCCAGAGAUUGACCAAGAGUAAAUUUUGUUCUUGCUGUGUAAGGGGUUAGGACUAACAAAAGACUAAAAAUAGGAAACCAUAGACUAAAAAUGUGCGUCUGGAUAUGCUGCCCAUUAUGUAAUUCUCACCUUGAUACCUCAGCCACUGUCAAACCUCUGAGAGUUAGCCUAUUGUGUAGAUGGAUCAGCAACAUCAAACUUGCAUCUGUGCAUAUCUGGUACCCAGGUGUUUGAGCUUGUUGCUGGCAGUUGGUCAGUGGGCAAUAUGUUCGAGUGAACACAUGCAGAUGUUGUUUGGAAAAGUGGUUCCAUC